AUGAACGCUGGCGGCGUGCCUAAUACAUGCCAGUCGAGCGAACAGACGAGGAGCUUGCUCCUCUGACGUUAGCGGCGGACGGGUGAGUAACACGUGGAUAACCUACCUAUAAGACUGGGAUAACUUCGGGAAACCGGAGCUAAUACCGGAUAAUAUAUUGAACCGCAUGGUUCAAUAGUGAAAGGCGGUUUUGCUGUCACUUAUAGAUGGAUCCGCGCCGCAUUAGCUAGUUGGUAAGGUAACGGCUUACCAAGGCAACGAUGCGUAGCCGACCUGAGAGGGUGAUCGGCCACACUGGAACUGAGACACGGUCCAGACUCCUACGGGAGGCAGCAGUAGGGAAUCUUCCGCAAUGGGCGAAAGCUUGACGGAGCAACGCCGCGUGAGUGAUGAAGGUCUUCGGAUCGUAAAACUCUGUUAUUAGGGAAGAACAAAUGUGUAAGUAACUAUGCACGUCUUGACGGUACCUAAUCAGAAAGCCACGGCUAACUACGUG
rnacentral:rRNA from 1 species